CACCGACCAAACCAAACCAAACCAAACGUUCCCUAAAAGAGAGUGAUUUUAACCCGCUAUAAUUCUUUCUUGCACGUAUCUCAUACCUGGUAGAAGGUUAACUUCCAAUUUUGCUCCGUAAGUGGCAAAAUUCUCAUUACAAUGUAAACACUAUUACGGAGCUGUUUUAUUAAUAAAUAUUGUAAAACCCAAGGCAAAAUUAUGUUACUAAUACUGAACUCUCGAGUAUUUCCCUAAUCUCCAAAUAAUAAAGCAAGUUUUUAAUACCUCAGCAUUUGAUAUCUUGUUGACAAUUACAGUUUUAGAAAAUGGCAAUUUUCUAAUUCUUACUUUGAUGUCGCUAGGACUUUUGCAAAUGGGAAGUACAUCACACCGAGGGAUCAACAACUUAAAAUUUUACUCCUACAAUAAUUUUCAAAAAGUAAUGACCUAUCAUGAUGUGCCCUUUGAUGUAGUAUUUGUAAUUAGAUUUAAAAAAUUCUUGUUAACAAAAAAAAAUCCUGCUCACCAGUUUCAAUCGGAAAUAUAUUGGACAAGUAUCGAU
rnacentral:lncRNA from 1 species